rnacentral:tRNA from 1 species
GGACUCUUAGCUCAGUUGGUUAGAGCGCUUCCUUGACAUGGAAGAGGUCGCUGGUUCGAGUCCAGUAGAGUCCA